CAGCCGCGGUAAUACGUAGGGUGCAAGCGUUGCCCGGAUUUAUUGGGCGUAAAGGGCGCGUAGGCGGCUGUGCACGUCACAUGUGAAAUCGCCUGGCUCAACUGGGCGGGGUCAUGUGAUACGGCACGGCUUGAGCAAGCUAGGGGGCAAUGGAAUUCCCGGUGUAGUGGUGGAAUGCGUAGAUAUCGGGAGGAACACCAGUGGCGAAGGCGGUUGCCUGGAGCUUUGCUGACGCUGAUGCGCGAAAGCGUGGGGAGCGAUCCGGAUUAGAUACCCGGGUAGUCCACGCCGUAAACGAUGCGGACUAGGUGUCGGGGGUAUCGACCCCCUCGGCGCCGCAGCUAACGCAUUAA
rnacentral:rRNA from 1 species